rnacentral:rRNA from 1 species
CCCCCCCAAAACGAAAGUGUGACGGGGUUACCCAAAGUGUUCAUAUUUGGACUGUGGUAGGUGAGUAAUGUCCCCUUUUAGAAAGGAGAGGGCAAGGCUGGUGCCAGCCGCCGCCGUAAAACCAGCUCUUCAAGUGGUCGGGAUAAUUAUUGGGCUUAAAGUGUCCGUAGCCGGUUUAGUUAGUUCCUGGUAAAAUCGGGUAGCUUAACUAUCUGUAUGCUAGGAAUACUGCUAUACUAGAGGGCGGGAGAGGUCUGAGGUACUACAGGGGUAGGGGUGAAAUCUUAUAAUCCUUGUAGGACCACCAGUGGCGAAGGCGUCAGACUGGAACGCGCCUGACGGUGAGGGACGAAAGCCAGGGGAGCGAACCGGAUUAGAUACCCGGGUAGUCCUGGCCGUAAACGAUGCAUACUAGGUGAUGGCACGGCUAUGAGCCGUGUCAGUGCCGUAGGGAAACCGUUAAGUGUGCCGCCUGGGAAGUACGGUCGCAAGGCUAAAACUUAAAGGAAUUGGCGGGGGA